CCCCCAUUAGGUAAACACUUAUUCAAUAUCCAAUAUCAGCUAUAAAAGUUCUACCGGAAGCCAUGACAUUUGAAAGUCAAGCGAGAUUUAAUACGCAAUUGUUUGAACGACAAUAAAGACUAGCCAUACCUUUCGCCGAUUAUAACUUCGGCCCCCUUCGGACGUAUCUUCUCGUAAUAGUCGUGUUCGAAUCGCUAUCAAAAACACUAUUUAGAGUGUUAUUUUUGAGCUUGUAUCUUUAAAUUUACAUCUUUUAUUAU